rnacentral:rRNA from 1 species
ACGGGGCCCGCACAAGCGGUGGAGCAUGUGGUUUAAUUCGAAGCAACGCGAAGAACCUUACCAGGUCUUGACAUCCCCUGACAACCCGAGAGAUCGGGCGUUCCCCCUUCGGGGGGACAGGGUGACAGGGUGGUGCAUGGUUUGUCGUCAGCUCGUGUCGUGAGAUGUUGGGUUAAGUCCCGUAACGAGCGCAACCCUUGUCCUUAGUUGCCAGCGGUUCGGCCGGGAACUCUAAGGAGACUGCCGGUGAUAAACCGGAGGAAGGUGGGACGACGUCAAGUCAUCAUGGCCCUUAUGGGCAGGGCUACACACGUGCUACAAUGGCCAGUACAGAAGGUUGCCAACCCGCGAGGGGGAGCUGAUCCUGAAAAGCUGGUCGUAGUCCGGAUCGCAGUCUGCAACUCGACUGCGUGAAGUCGGAAUCGCUAGUAAUCGCGAAUCAGCAUGUCGCGGUGAAUACGUUCCCGGGCCUU